rnacentral:rRNA from 1 species
UCGAGCGAGCGGAACCACAGAUUUACUUCGGUAAUGACGUUGGGAAAGCGAGCGGCGGAUGGGUGAGUAACACGUGGGGAACCUGCCCCUAAGUCUGGGAUACCAUUUGGAAACAGGUGCUAAUACCGGAUAAUAAAGCGGAUCGCAUGAUCAGCUUUUGAAAGGCGGCGUAAGCUGUCGCUAAGGGAUGGCCCCGCGGUGCAUUAGCUAGUUGGUAAGGUAACGGCUUACCAAGGCGACGAUGCAUAGCCGAGUUGAGAGACUGAUCGGCCACAUUGGGACUGAGACACGGCCCAAACUCCUAUGGGAGGCAGCAGUAGGGAAUCUUCCACAAUGGACGCAAGUCUGAUGGAGCAACGCCGCGUGAGUGAAGAAGGUUUUCGGAUCGUAAAGCUCUGUUGUUGGUGAAGAAGGAUAGAGGUAGUAACUGGCCUUUAUUUGACGGUAAUCAACCAGAAAGUCACGGCUAACUACGUGCCAGCAGCCGCGGUAAUACGUAGGUGGCAAGCGUUGUCCGGAUUUAUUGGGCGUAAAGCGAGCGCAGGCGGAAAAAUAAGUCUAAUGUGAAAGCCCUCGGCUUAACCGAGGAACUGCAUCGGAAACUGUUUUUCUUGAGUGCAGAAGAGGAGAGUGGAACUCCAUGUGUAGCGGUGGAAUGCGUAGAUAUAUGGAAGAACACCAGUGGCGAAGGCGGCUCUCUGGUCUGCAACUGACGCUGAGGCUCGAAAGCAUGGGUAGCGAACAGGAUUAGAUACCCUGGUAGUCCAUGCCGUAAACGAUGAGUGCUAAGUGUUGGGAGGUUUCCGCCUCUCAGUGCUGCAGCUAACGCAUUAAGCACUCCGCCUGGGGAG